UAGACAAUAACACGUCAUCGUGGACAAUGCAGUGUGGGUUCUAUGUAUAUAUUGUAGGAACAGAGGAGACAUAAUCAACCAGAACCUGACUGUAUAUGUGGCUGCAACACAAGUAUGGUGGCUGAUGUCAGAACCUCAGUGAUGACAGCAGGACGCUCAUGUUGUCGGCUGGGCACCGGCGUUUGACACAGGAUAUAGUUUGUGCGCCACCAGCUAUCGAUCAACGGAGGACCAACAUUUAUCAAUGUCGUCAUCGUUCACAAAGGCAAACCUGUCUGUACUAAGUCCGGUUUGGGGGAUUCGGGUGGUCGAAAGAUUCGCCAAACAGCAAGUCCUCUAACACAGACGCAAAUCCAGACUUGGUGGUGUUGAUUUUGGCGCACUAGAAACAGUUUCUGGCAACAUCACAAUCUGAAUCUUGGAACUUCAAUCUGGCCAUAUGCAGUUUUGGCAAGAAAGACAUUAAAAGUGUUCAGAGGUUGAAUUAUGCGAAUAACUCUUCCUGUCAGAUCUACUUUAACGAGGUCAUUUCGUUUGAAAGGUGUCAAAUGGUCAGCCAUGUUUGUUUACAAACAAUGUAGACGUAGUUUUGUUUUUUGUAAUUACGCUUAUUGUAAACUAAAACUCGUGCGAAAUAAAUGCUUUAUUCAUUA